ACGGAAGGCAGCAGUGGGGAAUAUUGCACAAUGGGCGAAAGCCUGUUGCAGCGACGCCGCGUGAGUGAAGAAGUAUCUCGGUAUGUAAAGCUCUAUCAGCAGGGAAGAAAAUGACGGUACCUGACUAAGAAGCCCCGGCUAACUACGUGCCAGCAGCCGCGGUAAUACGUAGGGGGCAAGCGUUAUCCGGAUUUACUGGGUGUAAAGGGAGCGUAGACGGUUUGGCAAGUCUGAAGUGAAAUGCGGGGGCUCAACUCCUGAACUGCUUUGGAAACUGUCGAACUAGAGUGCAGGAGAGGUAAGUGGAAUUCCUAGUGUAGCGGUGAAAUGCGUAGAUAUUAGGAGGAACACCAGUGGCGAAGGCGGCUUACUGGACUGUAACUGACGUUGAGGCUCGAAAGCGUGGGGAGCAAACAGGAUUAGAUACCCUGGUA
rnacentral:rRNA from 1 species